GCCAAAAUUUACCUAGUGACAGUGAUUAUCGUGUGAGCACUCACUUGUUCGAUGUUUUCUAAACGUAUAUUACGUGACUGUGAUAUUCAACUUUUUUCGUCCUUCCCGCCUUGGCUUCGCUAUCUCCGAAGGCUGUGCAUACAUACUCGAAGAGUAUCUGUUAUGUAUACAGUGGAAGCAGAGGAAUAAA